rnacentral:rRNA from 1 species
GACGAACGCUGGCGGCGUGCCUAAUACAUGCAAGUCGAGCGGAUGGAAGGAAGCUUGCUUCCUAAAGUCAGCGGCGGACGGGUGAGUAACACGUGGGCGACCUGCCCCAAAGAUCGGGAUAACUUCGGGAAACCGGAGCUAAUACCGGAUAUGAUUAUAUCUCACAUGAGACAUAAUGGAAAGACGGUUUCGGCUGUCACUUAGGGAUGGGCCCGCGGCGCAUUAGCUAGUUGGUGAGGUAACGGCUCACCAAGGCGACGAUGCGGAGCCGAACAGAGAGGGUGAUCGGCCACACUGGGACUGAAACACGGCCCAGACUCCUACGGGAGGAAGCAGUAGGGAAUCUUCCGCAAUGGACGAAAGUCUGACGGAGCAACGCCGCGUGAGUGAAGAAGGUUUUCGGAUCGUAAAACUCUGUUGUUAGGGAAGAACAAGUACCAUAGUAACUGAUGGUACCUUGACGGUACCUAACCAGAAAGCCACGGCUAACUACGUGCCAGCAGCCGCAGUAACAC